ACAUGAAAGACCAUGGUUCAGUGACAGAACAUCUGCUUUGCAUGCAAAAGGUCGCUGGUUCAAUCCCUGACAUCCCUAUGUA